ACUGUAGUAAACACAAAGUGUUUUUUAUUUACUUAUGACUUCUAGGAUGGAUUUCUUUAAAUGUGAAAAUGAGAUCAAGUGGGAUUUUAAGGCAGGAUUUAAAAGGUCUAUGUUUAUAAGAAUUAUUCCAGAAAAUAUUUAAUGGGAAGCAGAGGUCAUGGGUUAAAGUGAAAGAGGGUCAGAGGAUGUGUGUAUUCUGGUAAUAAAGACAGAAUGGGAUGAUAUGGUAAAUAACUGUCAUUUUUUUGUCUUUUCUACUUACCUCUCAGAAUAACAAGCACCCUAUUUCUAGGAACAGCUCUUCCACUCCAUGUGGUUCUGAGGAGCUGCCAAUCACAGGACAUGGCCCUGCAGCCGUAGGAAUGGACAUAAAAAGUAGGCCUGGCCAAUCAUAGUAACUGGUUUCCAUGGCCACAGGGAUGAGCACAUGACCCAAUUUAGGCCAAUCAGAGUCCUUCCCUGCAGUUUCAUAGAGAGAGAUAAUGGAAUAGAGAAGCUCUGGUGUUACUAAGCAGGAAAUGAAAGCCCAGAGUUGUCUGCAUCCACACCUCUUUUACCAUUUCCUCAUUCAACCUGGCCACGAGGAAGAAGCCAAUCUAUAGAAAAGGAAGAAGACAACAUGUAGAACCUGAGCUUGGAGAUGGAGGGAGAUGGUAAAAUGUAAUCACAUUGUCUAAGUCACUGGGCUUCCUGGGGCCAGCUUACUCCUGGACUUCCCUGCUAUUUGAACCCAUCAUUCCAGUUUGGCUUAACUCAGUGUCACUACAAGCUUUAACGUCUCAGGUCCUGACCAUAAAAUCAACAGAGGAAGACAGAGUGGAGAUAAGGAGUAAAAAUGAGUCCAAUGACAUCAUUUGGAUCCUGAAUUCAUUUGUGCCCUAAGCCAACAUCUACCCUGAACGUUUCUGAUAGAGGAGAAAAUAUCUUCUCUCUCUCAAGUCAAUUCAAGUUAAGUUUUCAGCCCCACUCAAGAUAAAGAGUUCUGACAUAUGAACCUCAUAUCGCCAAUACGUUUCUUUGUUUUGCAGGCUGCCCAGCCAAACUUCAAGAAAAAAGGAAAAGAAGUGCUGGGUCAGCUGCCUUUUGAUGGAAAUACAUCUCACUCUGAGAUGAAUAUGGAUGGUUACAAUAAAAAUUAAGUGCAUGUACGGUAAAUGGGCAUUGUUGGAUAAAUGCAGUGAUGGAAGAAAAUAAGAUGGUGGUCAUGCCAUUUCUACCUGACUUCCUUUUCUCCAACUUGAUGAUACUCUACCUUCAGAAACAGGAACCUUUGUUCUUAAACAGAGGAAGUUGUAAACUCUCCAAUAGCAAAUUUUAUUAACUCAUAGGCAAUACUAUAAAUGAUGGUACUCUAUUGAGUCAAUGCCUUCAACAUGAAUCAGGAGAUUAACUUUUGCUGCAAACUGUCAAUCUUUACUCCCAAAUUAUGAAUUGACAACUACUCCAUCAAUGCCCAAUUCUUAUUAAGUGCAUUUUCUACUGGCUCAAGUUCUAUCUUUGAUUGCUCUUUUCGGAA